rnacentral:rRNA from 1 species
UAAGGAAUAUUGGUCAAUGGAGGCAACUCUGAACCAGCCAUGCCGCGUGCAGGAAGAAGGCCCUAUGGGUCGUAAACUGCUUUUGAACAAGAGAAAACCCCGGUACGUGUACUGGGUUGAUAGUAUUGUUAGAAUAAGCAUCGGCUAACUUCGUGCCAGCAGCCGCGGUAAGACGAAGGAUGCAAGCGUUAUCCGGAUUCAUCGGGUUUAAAGGGUGCGUAGGCGGACUGAUAAGUCAGUGGUGAAAUCUCUCGGCUUAACCGAGAAACUGCCAUUGAUACUGUUAGUCUAGAGUACAGAUGAUGUGGGCGGAAUAUGACAUGUAGUGGUGAAAUACUUAGAUAUGUCAUAGAACACCGAUUGCGAAGGCAGCUCACAAAACUGUAACUGACGCUGAGGCACGAAAGUGCGGGGAUCAAACAGGAUUAGAUACCCGAGUAGUCCCUGAGCGGGCUGGCAAGGCGCAU